UUCUGGGGGUAGGGGCAAAACCUGGCGAGUGGAACCGUUGACCACGCUGGCAUGCAGGACUGCUGCUGGGUGACGCUAACAGGACUGGAGAACAAGCCAUGGCCCCUCCCCACUCCAGGCUCGCAGCCUCCUCUGAUGCCUAACAGAGCCUAACAGGUUGGCAGUGGCCCACCCAACAUCACUGCCCACUAUGCAGAGGUGGGGCUGGAACUGAACAAACACCACUCGGCCACCAGGACAAGGGCUCCAUCCCAAGGAGAGAGCCUCACCCCUCUAGGCUCCCAGCUGCCGCCACAGGUCUUUGGGUUCCAGAGGACACACCACAUCAUGACAGAGCAUGUCCAGGGAGACCCAGGGCCAAGGCAGGGGCAGAGUGAAGACUCAGAGGUGAAGCAGGUGGCGAGACAGGAUGAGGAGUGGCAGCUCGGGCCGGACAAAGAACCAGGCCCUGCGUGGGCGGCCACACGGUCCCACUCCCAGGGGAGACUGAGCACACUGAAUGUGAUGGCGAAUAACAUGCAAGAUUUCUCAUGAUUCCAAAUUUCUUGUGAGAACACAAACAAAACAAAACCCUAAGGACAGUGGAGGCUGGUUAUAUCCAACCAAUACCUUUGAAAGCACAAGAAAAAGAAAAUAAAUCAGGCUGAAUGACACAUCUAUAGAAAUCAGAGAUGGCCACACACUAGACUGUGCUGUUCUGAGAUACAGUCAAAGACACAUGAAUGCCUUCCACUCGCCUUAGAUGGAAGAGAAAGAAGCUUCCAAGCCAAGUCUCCCUCCUGCUCAGAGCACCCUACCUUGUGGGGUCAAGGGUGCAGGGCUGGGACCGCCGGCCAGGGGCUUGCUUCCCAGGGCGCCGUGCACAGCGCCCGCCUGAGACACGGUCUGCAUCACCACGGGGCCAGGGGCUCGAAGGUAGGGUUGCCCGGGGGCGGACACGAUCUGGAGGACGCUGCCUGCAAUCAUAGGUCCGCUAGGUGUCAAUAACAGGCACGUGUACAUCACAGUCACACACUCCAGGCACUUCCAAACAGUACAAAGUAAGUCGACAAACUGAAAAUCAAAUCUAAACAAACAAAUCAAUGCAAAGUUCAGUCACUGUGAGAAAAGUGGCAACCCAUCACCAACAGUGGAUGAUGACAUACUAAGAGGCAAGGUCUCUUGCUCAAUGUCAAGAAAAGGCCAUCUACCCUCUGUCCCUUACGGAAGGUGUGUGACACACAGCUGCUGAGGACCUGCUGUGCUGUUCGAGGUACUGAGCUGGACAUCCUCACUCCCAGAUCACUGCAGUCACUCCUGACAGCAGUCAAGGAGAAUGAAGAAAUGGAACAAAACCCUGUUUUUAGCCCAGAUGCCUGUGGCUUUUCUGCUGCUUUUUAAGGAGGCUGCCACUUUGGAUCUUGUAUGACUGCAUCUUUCUGACUUCUUUUACUCUGGAGAUAGCUUCCCAUGUCAUACUUUAUGAAAACUGGCGGCCAUCAGAGAUGUUACCAAUUGGCCCCACCUCUGUGGGCCAAAAAAAUGUUUAAAAAAAAAAAAAAAA
rnacentral:lncRNA from 1 species